UUGUUGGGUAGGGGAGCGUUCUGUAAGCCUGUGAAGGUGUGCUGUGAGGCAUGCUGGAGGUAUCAGAAGUGCGAAUGCUGACAUAAGUAACGAUAAAGCGGGUGAAAAGCCCGCUCGCCGGAAGACCAAGGGUUCCUGUCCAACGUUAAUCGGGGCAGGGUGAGUCGACCCCUAAGGCGAGGCCGAAAGGCGUAGUCGAUGGGAAACAGGUUAAUAUUCCUGUACUUGGUGUUACUGCGAAGGGGGGACGGAGAAGGCUAUGUUGGCCGGGCGACGGUUGUCCCGGUUUAAGCGUGUAGGCUGGUUUUCCAGGCAAAUCCGGAAAAUCAAGGCUGAGGCGUGAUGACGAGGCACUACGGUGCUGAAGCAACAAAUGCCCUGCUUCCAGGAAAAGCCUCUAAGCAUCAGGUAACAUCAAAUCGUACCCCAAACCGACACAGGUGGUCAGGUAGAGAAUACCAAGGCGCUUGAGAGAACUCGGGUGAAGGAACUAGGCAAAAUGGUGCCGUAACUUCGGGAGAAGGCACGCUGAUAUGUAGGUGAAGCGACUUGCUCGUGGAGCUGAAAUCAGUCGAAGAUACCAGCUGGCUGCAACUGUUUAUUAAAAACACAGCACUGUGCAAACACGAAAGUGGACGUAUACGGUGUGACGCCUGCCCGGUGCCGGAAGGUUAAUUG
rnacentral:rRNA from 1 species